UACGUAGGGACCAAGCGUUGUUCGGAUUUACUGGGCGUAAAGGGCGCGUAGGCGGCGCGGUAAGUCACUUGUGAAAUCUCUGAGCUUAACUCAGAACGGCCAAGUGAUACUGCAGUGCUAGAGUGUGGAAGGGGCAAUCGGAAUUCUUGGUGUAGCGGUGAAAUGCGUAGAUAUCAAGAGGUACACCUGAGGUGAAGACGGGUUGCUGGGCCAACACUGACGCUGAGGCGCGAAAGCCAGGGGAGCAAACGGG
rnacentral:rRNA from 1 species